GGAAAGGGUGUGGCUCUGUGGAAGAGAACCUGCUUUGCAAGCAGAAGGUGCCAGGUUCAAUCCCUGGCAUCUCCA